AGCGGGGCCGCCCUCCCUCCUCCCCGCGCCCCUCGCGCGGCGCCCCCUUACUCGAUGAAGAAGACGCGCCCGUCCCUGCAGACGCCGUAGGACCAGUGCUCAGAUAACCAAAAUAAAUAAUCAGAAGAAAGUAGGAGGCAGGAAAAACAACAUCAUUGAGAAGAAAGAGGACUUUGCUCAAUUUCACACCAGUUUCAGACAUCAUGCCGGUAUGGUGCAUCAGGAUGACCUUGUGUAGACCUCCCUUUUUGGCCACUGUUGGAGAAGAGGACACUAUACUAGUGUCAUCUUCUAACAACCAGGAAUGGUUGUUAUUGUGAGACACAUUGCAGGCUAGCUUCAGAAGCUGUGAGCUCAGAAAGCUCUUGAGCAAGAUGUUAUUUACAUAUGUAACUCCUGUUCUUGAAAUGAAAGAGAUAGUGGUCAUCUAGUGCAGCCUCCUGCAGAGUCAGCAUUGAAUUUAGACCAGGUGGCUCAGGCCUUUGUCCAGGCUCUGGUUCCAGUCCUCCCUGGCUGAUCUCGGCCACUUUUCUAUUACAUAUCAUUCGUUGCUCUCUAGAGGCACUGUGUGGAAGAAACCAUUUGAGGACGCUGUAAGCCUGGCAGCACGGAGAAGCCCUCAGUUCUUCAAUAUUGAUAUACCUGCAGCUGUCAACAUUUGGUUUGUUUUAAAGCAGAGACUUGAAGUCAUUUCCAUAUUUAUGAACACAAACAGGCUCACUGUCAUCCCAUGGCUAUGGACACCUGAGUAUGAAGAAGAUCCUUUUUUAAGGAACAGGACGAAUGGAAAGACAGACAUUACUGACCUCUGAGACUAAAAACUUCAAAAUUUUAAAUCAAACUGUUCAAUUCUCUAAUGUUUCCUCACAAAUUUUGUUUUUUAUUUCCUUCUCCAGCGUGAGAUACCUCACUUCUUUAUUCCCAUCAAAGCUUUUUUUCCCCCAGCUUUGAGUCCAUGACUGUUAUUACCCCUUUUUUCCAGCCCCUCUGGCAACUGCCAUUACCAUAUUUGCCCCCUUUUUUUGGAAUAUUUUACAUACCACAUUCAAGGCAAGCAGAAUGUCACAUAUUCCCAACCAUAUUCACUAAGACAUUUUUUCUAAAGAAAUUAAAGACCCCUGAAUUCACUAUCCAGUCUUCUCCUGAAGUUUGUUCUUCAUUUGCUCUGCAAGACCCAAAACUUCACCCCUGAUUCCCCUUAAUAGUAAUACAAACUAACACGUUCAACAGAAUGUUUUCAAAUUUGAAUGUGUCAAAGCCUUUGAUGAAGCAGAUUUUUACUUCAUUUUUCUUAAUAAACCCAUAAAUAGCUUGCUGCUGCUCGGUAGGUCACUUAACACAUGUCUAGGCAUACUAAUAGCAAUCCCCAAACAAGACUCCAGACAAGAUUCAAUUUUAGCAUCUUCUGCCCUAUCUUUCCAGAGAUGUUACUUUCUCAGCAUGCUUCUAACUCACCAAGGUGUCAGCCCUCUUCCUAAAUAAGCUUUUGCCAGGCAGAACAAUCUCUUCUGGCUGUGGUCUCCCAGUUCCUCUUUCAAACACCUUUGCAGGAGAAUCUGCUUGGCUCCAGAAGGAGAUAACUGAGAGUUAACCAUCCUCCUUGAUUUUUCUGGUAACAUGAAGUGUACAUACCUCAUCACAGCUUUUCAGUAUCCGACUUCCUUCCGGUUUCUUCCUACUUUCUUGUACAAUCCUAGAAAGUGCGCCUUCUUGACAAUCCCCCACAUCUCUUCUUGCCUCGUCCUAUGCCGGGCUCAGGUCAUUCCGUGGUUUUACAGUCUCCUGCUACAUACCUGUAUCCCUUCCACUCCUGGCUUCAAUGAUUUGCAACAGCAAUCAGUCAGUUUGCAAAGGCAAUGCAAUAAACCAUCUGUAUGUGAGCAUGGCAUAACCAGUAGCUAUAGUACAGGAAAGCACACUUUAAACAAAAAAUGAAAAACAAACAAAAAAAUAUGAGCGAUAUCGCUCAUCUUUUCCUCCAUCCCCAAAUAUUGCAUGGCUCCAAAAAUAUCCUCUUGUGUUCCUUCACCUAAUUACAUCUUCCCCCUAGCCCAAAAGAGAGUGAGAUACAAAUAAAACUUUAUUUUGCUUGGUUGAAGGAGGAAAAAUAAAAAAAUAAUAACAUACAACAAAACUAGAAAGAAAAGCUUGUCUCUUUCCAGAAGAGAAGAAAAAAUAAAUCUGUAAAUUGCAAAUCCAGGACAGGCAAAAUUGUCACUAUCCCUGUUCUGCCUUAUUUGCUGAUACAGGAUCAGCCUUAGGACCCUUGUGGGCUGUGAAAUUAAUUUCCAUUGUUCCUUUUUUAUUGUCUUGUUUCCUCAGUAAUCUCCCCUGGCUGCAAUGAACCAUCAGCAUGACCACUGUCUCUCAGUUCAAUCUCACAUGUAAGGGGACUGCAUAGUAUUUAUUCUUACUCCUCAAAAAGAUGGAUGGGAUGCAGAUGUGAGGCUCACACUUUUGAGUUACAAAUGGGUCUUCAGGGCAGCAUUGCCAAAGGCUUCAUCCAGGGCUGAGGCAUCAUUGACUGACUGCCCCAAUCCCCAAAUCCUGAGCAUGGGGGUGGAUUCACAGGGCCUUGGCACCGAGCAUGGGAGCCAGCCCUGGGGAGGAGAAUUCUGAGGAGCCUCCCUGCUGUGCUGGACACACACACAGCCAGCCCCUGUAAUGCAGCUCCCACCUGAGGCAGCUCUGUGGGUGCAGAUCGCCAGGGAUCCAACUGGGAGCAGUUUGGGAAGUUAGCAAGGGUUGGACAUUUUCCCCAGCAUGGUGCUGUGCUGUCUACAGAGAUCACUUCAGACCCUGCAGCAGUAAGGCCAAGUGUUGGUACUUGUGACACAUCUCACUGCUACACAGAGCUGGAGAGCAACUUCUAAUAAUGCAGAAUAGCAUGAGGAACUUUUAAAAUACAGAUAUGAAAAGAACCUUCUGCAAGUUCUUGAGAAGAGCUCUUGAAUCUGAGUGGACUGAGUCAAGGUAUUAUAGAAAAUAUGGGGGUUUUUUAACCAUUCCUCUAGAGCCUGUGUAGGUGGACUUCCACAGAAAAGACCAAUAUAGACUCAGGGCCUCAGCUUACUUUAGCACUAAAAAGGUCAGCAGGGUGCAAAACAUUGUUCAGUAAAUUAUAGCACUUAUACCCGUGUCACACAUUUUCAUUCCUGCUUUUUGAAAUAUGCAUGUCAAAAUAGAUAAACAAUACAGACUCAGUUCAUACCCCAGAAAAUUAUUUUAUAUAAAUUAAAAGAAACGAACUUUGUUUACUGCAGUAUUACCUUCCAAAAAUUAUUUUUUCUUAUUUGACACUUCCUUCCUUGAGGGAGUAGAACUAUUCCAUAUAUCUCUUAAAUGCAUACAAAUUUGUUAAUGUUCUCAAUAAAACCCACCUGAAAUAGAUUUCCUUCUAAUCAGUGAAGUAAGUAGCCAUGCAAUAAUUAUUAUUAUGCCUGAUUCAAUUUUAUACAUUGACAUCUCUCCAUUGUUAUUGAUUAAUGGUUAAAACUCUCUAAGGUUGUUAUAAAACACUGUUAUAAAUAACUUUUAUUAUUUAGAUACAUAAUAAAUGUGAUCUCCACAAAUGAUGAAUUAUAUCCCACUCCUUAAUUACAGAGUCUUCUGAAAUCUAAUUUAAAUAGUAGCUAAGCAGAUUAAAUUCAAAAACAAGAACAAUAGCAAGGCAGUUGGCAAAAUGAUAAAUGUAUGGGGUUCUUUUCUCAGCACUGUAUAGUUUUUCCACAGACUGUUUUGUAAAGUAUAAUCUUUCUCAAUAUCUUAUUAGACCACUGUAAUCUGGAUUUACAUAUUGAUUCAUUCCGUUUCAAUGUCAAUCAAAACAUGAAAAUUUAAUAAAAAACAACUCUAAUUGUUCCUCAGAGACUUAGCAAUAAUUACUCACAUGCCAUCUCUCAGUGAAGGAGAUGUCUUUAACAUGCUCUGUUUUCCAAGCAUAACAAUUGUACGUUUCUUUUGGGCACUGUGUACUUCUCAAAUCAGCAUUUCACUCACCAAGAUGUUGAAGGCUGCCUUAACAACAUAUCACACAGGGGCUACACUUGAUAAAAUUGAAACUGUAUUCUGUCAACAAUAAUUAUGUGGGUGUUUUGCUCAUUUCCUGCUAUAGCUGUCCCAUGGCAACAGAGUAAAAGCAG